UUACGGUCACAUCGCGUUGAAACACCGAUUUCCGUACGAUCGACGAAGUUAAGCAACGCCGAUCUUGGUCAAUACUAAGAUGGUUGACCUCUAGAGAAUACCAGGUGCU